AGAGUUUGAUCCUGGCUCAGGAUGAACGCUAGCUACAGGCUUAACACAUGCAAGUCGAGGGGCAGCAUGGUCUUAGCUUGCUAAGGCCGAUGGCGACCGGCGCACGGGUGAGUAACACGUAUCCAACCUGCCGUCUACUCUUGGACAGCCUUCUGAAAGGAAGAUUAAUACAAGAUGGCAUCAUGAGUCCGCGUGUUCACAUGAUUAAAGGUAUUCCGGUAGACGAUGGGGAUGCGUUCCAUUAGAUAGUAGGCGGGGUAACGGCCCACCUAGUCUUCGAUGGAUAGGGGUUCUGAGAGGAAGGUCCCCCGCAUUGGAACUGAGACACGGUCCAAACUCCUACGGGAGGCAGCAGUGAGGAAUAUUGGUCAAUGGGCGAGAGCCUGAACCAGCCAAGUAGCGUGAAGGAUGACUGCCCUAUGGGUUGUAAACUUCUUUUAUAAAGGAAUAAAGUCGGGUAUGCAUACCCGUUUGCAUGUACUUUAUGAAUAAGGAUCGGCUAACUCCGUGCCAGCAGCCGCGGUAAUACGGAGGAUCCGAGCGUUAUCCGGAUUUAUUGGGUUUAAAGGGAGCGUAGAUGGAUGUUUAAGUCAGUUGUGAAAGUUUGCGGCUCAACCGUAAAAUUGCAGUUGAUACUGGAUAUCUUGAGUGCAGUUGAGGCAGGCGGAAUUCGUGGUGUAGCGGUGAAAUGCUUAGAUAUCACGAAGAACUCCGAUUGCGAAGGCAGCCUGCUAAGCUGCAACUGACAUUGAGGCUCGAAAGUGUGGGUAUCAAACAGGAUUAGAUACCCUGGUAGUCCACACGGUAAACGAUGAAUACUCGCUGUUUGCGAUAUACAGCAAGCGGCCAAGCGAAAGCGUUAAGUAUUCCACCUGGGGAGUACGCCGGCAACGGUGAAACUCAAAGGAAUUGACGGGGGCCCGCACAAGCGGAGGAACAUGUGGUUUAAUUCGAUGAUACGCGAGGAACCUUACCCGGGCUUAAAUUGCAGAUGAAUUACGGUGAAAGCCGUAAGCCGCAAGGCAUCUGUGAAGGUGCUGCAUGGUUGUCGUCAGCUCGUGCCGUGAGGUGUCGGCUUAAGUGCCAUAACGAGCGCAACCCUUGUUGUCAGUUACUAACAGGUUCUGCUGAGGACUCUGACAAGACUGCCAUCGUAAGAUGUGAGGAAGGUGGGGAUGACGUCAAAUCAGCACGGCCCUUACGUCCGGGGCUACACACGUGUUACAAUGGGGGGUACAGAGGGCCGCUACCACGCGAGUGGAUGCCAAUCCCCAAAACCUCUCUCAGUUCGGACUGGAGUCUGCAACCCGACUCCACGAAGCUGGAUUCGCUAGUAAUCGCGCAUCAGCCACGGCGCGGUGAAUACGUUCCCGGGCCUUGUACACACCGCCCGUCAAGCCAUGGGAGCCGGGGGUACCUGAAGUGCGUAACCGCGAGGAGCGCCCUAGGGUAAAACUGGUGACUGGGGCUAAGUCGUAACAAGGUA
rnacentral:rRNA from 1 species